AACAAACGAAAAAAAAGGCAGAACGAAGUUUGUCGGGUAAAGGCUUGUUCCUUAUGUUUUUUAACCAGCUGUCUUAUAUCAAGAAUCCUAAAGCAAACCAAACCUCCAUUACUGGGAAAUGGGACACACGUUCCGUCCCGUCUCGUCCCUUCUCCAAAUCGUGGGGGCAGCCAGAACGAGAUUCCACACAUAAACGGAACCAGAACAACCCCCCGUAGUUUUGGGCCGGCCGAGUGAUGGACGGCCGCACGUGAGUGUCCAGGAUCCAGGGAGAGAGGAUUUUCCGGUACUAAUUUUUACGACCGGGACGAGAAUGGGGACGGCACCGGAGAAAGGUUGUGUGGACUUCUCGGGGAGGGCAGUUGUUUUGUUUUUUUCUUCCAGUUGACCACAUUGACUUGGCCGAUGCUGGUCGGAACGGUUGUGACGCUGCUGCUGCUCCCCUGGGGAUACUUUCGAGAGGAGGAUUUACAGCUUUGCCAAUUUGCUGCUGGCGGUAGACGUGUGAGUUGUCGUCGGAAAAUGGGAGAAAUUUAUAGGUGUUUGAAAAAAAUCCUAGAUAUUUGAUAAGUGAAGAAUGACGAAAUCUUUUCAUUGCCCAGGAAAAUAUUAUUCAUACAGCAAUUCCCCACGAAAGCAGCAUGACAUAAAAAACUGUUAACCUAAAAUUUUCAAGUAUGUUAAGUUACAUUGUCUGAGAAAUCCGAUAAAAAUAUUACCAGACACCGCCAA